ACGCGAGCUGGGUUUAGAACGUCGUGAGACAGUUCGGUCCCUAUCUGCCGUGGGCGCUGGAGAAUUGAGGGGGGCUGCUCCUAGUACGAGAGGACCGGAGUGGACGCAUCACUGGUGUUCGGGUUGUCAUGCCAAUGGCACUGCCCGGUAGCUAAAUGCGGAAGAGAUAAGUGCUGAAAGCAUCUAAGCACGAAACUUGCCCCGAGAUGAGUUCUCCCUGAGACUUUAAGUCUCCUGAAGGAACGUUGAAGACGACGACGUUGAUAGGCCGGGUGUGUAAGCGCAGCGAUGCGUUGAGCUAACCGGUACUAAUGAACCGUGAGGCUUAACCUU
rnacentral:rRNA from 1 species